GAUGAACGCUGGCGGCGUGCUUAACACAUGCAAGUCGAACGAUGAAGCCCAGCUUGCCGGGUGGAUUAGUGGCGAACGGGUGAGUAACACGUGAGUAACCUGCCCUUAACUCUGGGAUAAGCCUGGGAAACUGAGUCUAAUACCGGAUAGGAGCGUCCACCGCAUGGUGGGUGUUGGAAAGAUUUAUCGGUUUUGGAUGGACUCGCGGCCUAUCAGCUUGUUGGUGAGGUAAUGGCUCACCAAGGCGACGACGGGUAGCCGGCCUGAGAGGGUGACCGGCCACACUGGGACUGAGACACGGCCCAGACUCCUACGGGAGGCAGCAGUGGGGAAUAUUGCACAAUGGGCGCAAGCCUGAUGCAGCGACGCCGCGUGAGGGAUGACGGCCUUCGGGUUGUAAACCUCUUUCAGUAGGGAAGAAGCGAAAGUGACGGUACCUGCAGAAGAAGCACCGGCUAACUACGUG
rnacentral:rRNA from 1 species